rnacentral:rRNA from 1 species
AACGAACGCUGGCGGCAGGCUUAACACAUGCAAGUCGAACGCCCCGCAAGGGGAGUGGCAGACGGGUGAGUAACGCGUGGGAACGUGCCUUUUGGUUCGGAACAACUUCGGGAAACUGGAGCUAAUACCGAAUGUGCCCUUCGGGGGAAAGAUUUAUCGCCAAAAGAUCGGCCCGCGUCAGAUUAGCUAGUUGGUGGGGUAAUGGCCUACCAAGGCGACGAUCUGUAGCUGGUCUGAGAGGAUGAUCAGCCACACUGGGACUGAGACACGGCCCAGACUCCUACGGGAGGCAGCAGUGGGGAAUCUUGGACAAUGGGCGCAAGCCUGAUCCAGCCAUGCCGCGUGAAUGAUGAAGGCCUUAGGGUUGUAAAAUUCUUUCGUUCGGGGACGAUAAUGACGGUACCCGAAGAAGAAGCUCCGGCUAACUUCGUGCCAGCAG